GCCUGGAAUGCAAAAUCGGCACUUUUAAAAUAAAACAAGCGAAACUAACUUUUUAAUGAAAAUUCAGUAAAUCCAGAACUCAAUCAAAAAUCCAGAAUCAAGGCUUGGACCCAGAAGGAGACUCUAGCUGGAGACGGAUUCCCGGGCUCCCUUCUUUGCUAAGGUUUUACUUCUGCUGGGGUUCGCUGGACUCUGCUGACCUCAGGGGUGUCCCUACUUGAAAAAUGCUUGCCUGAGCCUGGAUGCCAUCACCUUCUUUGUGUUCCCUUCAGUAUAGCUACAGGAGGUGGGGCCCUGCAGACAGGGUUCCAGAAGGUGGAGCAGAUGGAAAAGAAGACACAGUACACGUUGAAGUUGGAGAAAUGGGCUCCCUUCCCUCCCCACCAACAUUACUCUUCCUCCAGUGAGCCCUCCAUCCUUACAAGCAGAGAAGGACCGUGUGCUGCCCAAGAGCCACCUGAGCACCGCAAGCCAGAGUCGCCCCAGGGAGCGUCUGUCACAGGUAGCCACGGUAGGACCAGCUGCCACCGUUCCCCGUCACACGCUGACACCAGCACAUUUGGAGGGAGAGAGGAAAGACACAUCGUGAGAGCAGCUCAGUGACAGGUGGCCCUGCCCCCCUGGGAACCAGCUCUGCCUGCUUUCCAGUUCCACCCACGACCUGCUCUGCAUUUAUGAUAUUUGAGCUGGGGGAUCGGAAGAUUGAAGUAGAGCGACUGUGUCUUUAAAGUGGUCACAGGAAUGUCAAAAACAUGCAGCAGCUCCAUUUUAAUGGUUUUUCUUGGGGAGUAGGCAGCCUGGCCGCCAGCACUGCCUCAUCCAUGCCUCCUUGUGUCCUGAGUCAGGGGCUCCUGGAAAGAAGGAUGCUCCAGAGAGCACGUGGGGCCACUUCCUUUCUCCUUGGCUGGGAUUUGGGGUGUAAAACUCUCAGAACAAGGCUGGUCUCUCACACCUGUCACUCCCUCAGCCUAUUUGGGGGUUUUCUUGGCCUUUCUCUGUCAUUGGCUGCGUACAUGCAUGGUUAGUCGCUUCAGUCGUGUCUGACUCUUUGCGACCGCAUGGGCUAUCGCCCGCCAGGCUCCUCUGUCCAUGGGAUUCUCCAGGCAAGAAUACUGGAGUGGGUAGCCAUGCCAUCCUCCAGGGGAUCUUCCUGACUUAGGGAUCGAACCUACAUCUCUUAGUCUUCUGCAUUGGCAGGCGGGUUCUUUACCACUGGUGCCACCAUUGACUAACAGAUGCCUAAUGGUUUCACGUUUUAAUCCCCACUCCGCUAACUUUUCCAUCAGCACCACACCCACCCUUGUAAUGGUCCUGAACUUGCUGUUGUUCAAACAUGAGCUCCUGAACUGCAAACUCAACUUUAUGAUUUAAUGCACAGGUUUUUUUUUCCCCCUAGGAAAUUUAUCUGAUCUUGGCCAGGUUUUAGUAUGUCAUUAUGCCAUAUGUAAUGUUCUUAGAUUAAUCUUCCUUCUCACUCCCUCAGCUUGGCUUUAUAUUAGUCAUACCUGGGAUCAGAAAUGCUUUGUUUCUUCAUAUUCUGAAUACUGAUAUUUCAGAUAGAUAUGGAAAAUCUCUUUGGAAGCCUCAGAGAGGCUUCAUUUGGCUGAGAAAGGGGUUGAGGAGAGAUAUCUUGUAUCGUUUGUAAGAUAUAAGAAGGGCUUCUCUGUGUUUUUCUGUUGUUUAGGUUUUUUUAAAGGAUGACCUGGGCUACACUUGAGACUUCUUGAGCGUUUGAGUCCGUCUGGCACUUUUAUCUUUUACUACUUCCCGUCUCAGUUUUAUUCAGCAUGGGGCAAAAACAGUCACAAAACUUCACCACAAAAACAUUAGUCAAGAGGUGAACCCUUUGUUCUUUGCCAAAAGCUUGGAGAAAAAGGAGGUUCAGAAUUUAGAUUCCACCCCCCACCCUUGUCUUUCCUAGAAAGAGCUCUUCUUUGGAAAUAACUCAAGACCACAGAUUCUUCCUAAUCCCACCUGUCUUUGAAUCUUUGUGAUUUUCAGUCUAAAUAAAGUAAAUGUUCUUGACUUUCCGUUGGGUUUC
ensembl:lncRNA